rnacentral:rRNA from 1 species
UAAAAUCCAGAUCAAUAACUCCAUAGUUAAGAGCACUUGGGGUAGAGUAUUACUAGGAUGGGUGACCUCCUAGGAAGUCCUAGUGUUUUAC